rnacentral:rRNA from 1 species
AUACAGAGGGUGCAAGCGUUAUUCGGAAUUACUGGGCGUAAAGCGCGCGUAGGCGGAUGAUUAAGUCAGUUUUGAAAGCCCUGGGCUCAACCUAGGAACUGCAUCUGAUACUGGUCGUCUAGAGUUUAAGAGAGGGAAGUGGAAUUCCAGGUGUAGCAGUGAAAUGCGUAGAUAUCUGGAGGAACAUCAGUGGCGAAGGCGACUUCCUGGCUUAAAACUGACGCUGAGGUGCGAAAGCGUGGGUAGCGAACGGGAUUAGAUACCCUAGUAGUCC